GAUGAAGAACGUAGCGAAAUGCGAUAAGUAACGUGAAUUGCAGAAUUCAGUGAAUCAUCGAAUCUUUGAACGCACAUUGCGCCCCUUGGUAUUCCGAGGGGCAUGCCUAUUCGAGCGUCAUUAUCACCCCUCAAGCCUAGCUUGGUGUUGAGGCCUGCUGUUAAGGCAGCCUCUAAAAUCAGUGGCAGUGCUGUCAGGCUCUAAGCGUAGUAAUUUCAUCGCUAUAGACACCUGGUGGAUACUCGCCAGAACCCCCCCAUUUUUUAAUGAUUGACCUCAGAUUAGGUAGGGAUACCCGCUGAACUUAAGCAUAUCAAUAAGCGGAGGA
rnacentral:misc_RNA from 1 species